UGAGGCCCUUAAAGGGAGGGUGUGUGUGUGUGUGUGUGUGUGUAUGUGUGUGUGUGCACGCAUUAACUCUGUUUGAAAGAUACUAAUGGAGUGUCCCAAUUGGCUGCAGAAGUAUGCUACGCAGAGGGACUGAUGUGAUUGGCUGAAAAACAUCUACCGACUUGAAGAUGCAUGUGGUGCUGCGAUUACAGCUUCCACAAUCAGCCUGUUCUGAAGGUGCGGUUCACCAAGUGCACACUGGAGAUGCACAUUUUGAACUAUUUCCUACAUUCAUCAUCUAUUUGUGAGCAAACCAAAAGGAAGCAAGCAGCGUUCAAACAAUGGAGCAAAAAAUUGAAUAGAAAAGUUGAGUCUUGAGUUCAGAGUAAAAGCUUCUCUGCACCGUUCAUGGCCUGGGAUCUUUUGGUAUUUGGUUCCACAUAAGUGCAGCAUAGUGUCUCUGCCAUUUUUACAAGUAUAAAUUUAGUCCAAACACAGUUCUUCUUUAUCAGGCCGCAGCUAUUUUCAGAUUGGAGCCAUGGCAAUAUACCUGUGCCAAUAAUCUGUGGAGAUCCUCAGCUUCCUUUGAUCUCUACAGGCUGUUUGCAAUGAAUUUCCACACUUACACAAACAAACGCCACAUGGAAUUAUAUUCUGGGUUUUUUGGGGGUUUUUUGGUCAUGAAACUCGUGAAUUCAUGAGCAUUGAAUCCCCAUUUUGGCCAUCCAAUUCACCGACGCCUACAUGGACUGAAAAUCGAAAAAUGUAGAGUCUAUUUGAGACGAUAUUUAAAGCUGUUUCCGACCCCUGGCGCGGCCUCCUCCUCCCGUGUUCCCUUCUCCUGCCGCCAAUCCGCAGCAGCAGCAGCUUUGAACUUUAGACCUUGUUUUCUAGGCAGAGGAUGAAAACGUACAGGCCGUCGGUCUGUUGGCAGCCUGACAAGGAGACGGGGAGGGAGGAGCGUGAGGAAGAGA